GGGUGCGAUCCUACCAGCACUAAUGCAUCUGAUCCCAUCAGAACCCCGCAGUUAAGCGUGCUUGGUUUUAGUUAUAUUUUCUCCACGUGGUGUAACUCAUUCGUUUUUUGCGUUUU
rnacentral:rRNA from 1 species